rnacentral:rRNA from 1 species
CGUGUAAGAAAAAAGGAGGGUGAGGUCGUAAUAGAGUCCGACCGGAGACGGAAGGAGCGCUUAAAAUUAUAUCAAAACCAAUCGGUGGCGGGUUUAAUCGCUCGCCAUCGUCCAAUUUGGUGACUCUGAAUAAUUUUACGCUGAUCGCACGGUCUCGCACCGGCAACGCAUCUUUCAAAUGUCUGCCUUAUCAACUGUCGAUGGUAGGUUCUGCCCCUACCAUGGUUGUAACGGGUAAGGGGAAAUCAGGGUUCAAUUCCGGAAAGGGAGCCUGAAAAACGGCUACCACUUCCAAGGAAGGCAGCGGGGGCGCAAAUUACCCACUCCCGGCACGGGGAGGUAGUGACAAAAAAUAACGAUACGGGACUCAUCCGAGGCCCCGUAAUCGAAAUGAGUACACUCUAAACCCUUUAACAAGAAUCAAUUGGAGGGCAAGUCUGGUGCCAGCAGCCGCGGUAAUUCCAGCUCCAAUACCGUAUAUUAAAGUUGUUGCGGUUAAAAAGCUCGUAGUCGAAUUUGUGUGUCGCGCCGCCGGUUCAUCGUUCCGCGGUGUUAACUGGCGACGCGCGACACGUCCUGCCGGUGGAUUUAGCUCGGAGCGUUCGCGCGCUUCGGGCGGUCCAACUCAAUCCCGUCGCGGUGCUCUUCAUUGAGUGUCGAGAUGGGUCGGCACGUUUACUUUUGAACAAAUUAGAGUGCUUAUACCAGGCUAAAACGUCGCCUGAAUACUGA